rnacentral:rRNA from 1 species
AGCACGUUAUGUGGGCGACUCUAAGGAGACUGCCGGUGGACAAACCGGAGGAAGGUGGGGAUGACGUCAAGUCAUCAUGGCCCUUACGGCCUGGGCUACACACGUGCUACAAUGGUCGGUACAAAGGGUUGCCAAGCCGCGAGGUGGAGCUAAUCCCAUAAAACCGAUCGUAGUCCGGAUCGCAGUCUGCAACUCGACUGCGUGAAGUCGGAAUCGCUAGUAAUCGUGAAUCAGAAUGUCACGGUGAAUACGUUCCCGGGCCUU